rnacentral:misc_RNA from 1 species
GCAAACUUGGUCAUUUAGAGGAAGUAAAAGUCGUAACAAGGUUUCCGUAGGUGAACCUUCGGAAGGAUCAUUACCGGACGGCCGCCACACGGCGGCCUGUCUUCUCUCUUCCCCGUGGUUUUUGCGCACGUGUUGUUUCCUCGGCAGGGGGCCCCCUGCCAGCGAGGACCGUCGAACCUUCUUGCCGUAGCAGUUUUUGUCAGGAUCGCAAGCAAACAAUCAAAACUUUCAACAACGGAUCUCUUGGUUCUGGCAUCGAUGAAGAACGCAGC